GGGCCGUUAGCUCAGCCAGGUAGAGCAGCUGACUCUUAAUCAGCGGGUCGGGGGUUCGAUUCCCUCACGGCUCACCA
rnacentral:tRNA from 1 species